UGAUCUUUUCCCUAAUCGGAGAUUUCCUUCGGGACAGUGUGACAGGUGGUGCAUGGUGUCGUCAGCUCGUGUCGUGAGAUGUUGGGUUAAGUCCCGCAACGAGCGCAACCCUUGCCUUUAGUUGCCCAGCAUUAAGUUGGGCACUCUAGAGGGACUGCCGAGGAUAACUCGGAGGAAGGUGGGGAUGACGUCAAAUCAUCAUGCCCCUUUAUGCUUAGGGCUACACACGUGCUACAAUGGGUGGUACAGAGGGUUGCCAAGCCGCGAGGUGGAGCUAAUCCCUUAAAGCCAUUCUCAGUUCGGAUUGUAGGCUGAAACUCGCCUACAUGAAGCUGGAGUUACUAGUAAUCGCAGAUCAGAAUGCUGCGGUGAAUGCGUUCCCGGGUCUUGUACACACCGCCCGUCACACCAUGGAAGUUGGGGGCGCCCGAAGCCGGUUAGCUAACCUUUUAGGAAGCGGCCGUCGAAGGUGAAACCAAUGACUGGGGUGAAGUCGUAACAAGGUAACCUA
rnacentral:rRNA from 1 species